rnacentral:tRNA from 1 species
AGUAGCGUGGCUUAGUGGAAAGAGCCUGGGCUUGGGAGCCAGAGGUUGUGGGUUCUAAUUCUGCCUCUGCCA